GAUGAACGCUGGCGGCGUGCCUAAUACAUGCAAGUCGAGCGAACGGACGAGAAGCUUGCUUUUCUGAUGUUAGCGGCGGACGGGUGAGUAACACGUGGAUAACCUACCUAUAAGACUGGGAUAACUUCGGGAAACCGGAUCUAAUACCGGAUAAUAUUUUGAACCGCAUGGUUCAAAAGUGAAAGACGGUCUUGCUGUCACUUAUAGAUGGAUCCGCGCUGCAUUAGCUAGUUGGUAAGGUAACGGCUUACCAAGGCAACGAUGCAUAGCCGACCUGAGAGGGUGAUAGGCCACACGGGAACUGAGACACGGUCAAGACUCCUAAGGGAGGCAGCAGUAGGGAAUGGUCCGCAAUGGGCGAAAGCCUGACGGAGCAACGCCGCGUGAGUGAUGAAGGUCUUCGGAUCGUAAAACUCUGUUAUUAGGGAAGAACAUAUGUGGAAGUAAAUGUGCACAUCUUGACGGUACCGAAUCAGAAAGCAACGGCUAACUACGUG
rnacentral:rRNA from 1 species